UACGGAGGAUGCGAGCGUUAUUCGGAAUCAUUGGGUUUAAAGGGUCUGUAGGCGGGCUAUUAAGUCAGGGGUGAAAGGUUUCAGCUUAACUGAGAAAUUGCCUUUGAUACUGGUAGUCUUGAAUAUCUGUGAAGUUCUUGGAAUGUGUAGUGUAGCGGUGAAAUGCUUAGAUAUUACACAGAACACCGAUUGCGGAGGCAGGGGACUAACAGAUGAUUGACGCUGAGAGACGAAAGCGUGGGGAGCGAACAGG
rnacentral:rRNA from 1 species